ensembl:lncRNA
AGCGUGUUCCACAGAGUCUCAUCAGGCACUGUUCAGGGUUUGUCCCUAAAUUUUGUGAAGACUAAACUGGAAGAAAAGAGGAAUCGGUUGGCAGACUGGGACCUCCUGCGUCACAUCUUCACUAAGGUACCAGUGCAAACAGACAGACAAAGUGGCAUUUCCUGACUGUUCCCAUCCCCGUCUGAGUUAUCUGACACCCAAAAAUACGGCUAACGGGGAAGCAGGGAGACGAGGCACCCACAGCCUUAUCCCGGAACAAGGUUUCAGAGCGAUGAUAACUUUUCGAGAGGAUGAGAGGAUGCACCAUCAAAACUGCAGUUCAGGCCACGUCCUUGCACAUCCAGCCUGCCUCUCUGCCCCCUAUCCACCUGCUCCUCUCUCCCUGCUGCCUUACCUGUACUCACCUGUGUCUGUCUGUGCAGCAAAGUGUCCACCACGGCUAUCACCAGUGGACAUGGAUCACCGAGGGGGCCUGUGAUUAACAGAUAGCACCUUGUCUCCUCCGCUGGCAGGCCAUCAUUACGACGAGCACUAGAAGAUAGGUUCUGUGGGAGAAAAGACCUUUUGGAAAAUGUCAGCGACAGUCAAAGCCCCAAAUUUUCCUCCAUUCACUCUUUACCAUGUGAUGCUACCUACUCUAAACCCCUUAAUUACACCACCCCAUCUUUCCUAUCGCCUAAUGUUUUGUAUCUAAGUACAGUGUCUGAUUUCAGAGCAUGUGGAGAUUUUAUUUUGUCUUAUGUGGCUUACCUGAAGAUUUAAAAAAACGAAAAAAAAAAAAAAAAAAAAAAAAAGCCCUAUAUUUCACCCAUAUCAGCAAAACCAAGCACUAUCAAACAAACAAAAAAACAGCAGUGUCUGCAACAGCUCCCCUUCCCCUUCCCCAGUCCCUUUCACUGGAGCCAGCUUCACUGUCUUAAUACUCUUAGUCCCUCAGUUGGCAUGUUUUCCAAGAACGCCGCUGCAUUUCCAGAUUUGUAAAAUCCGUCAAAAUGCCUGUAAUGAAUAUUUCUACAGCCUUGAUUGUGUUUAAUAUGCUGUUUGACCAGCCCAAUAAGAAACAUGUACUGAUCUGGCACCAGAGGGACCGCAGCAUCAGUAGAAGGUUUAUUGUCCGGGAAAAAAAAAACAAAAAAAAAACGUCUGGACUGUCUUUUAUCAAGUGAAGCAGAAACAUUUAUUAUUCAGAUAAUCUCUUCUUUCCUGUGCAUGAAUCUACAUGUCAUUUGUCAUUUGAAUUUUUUUUUAAAAGCUACUACUAUUAGUACAGUUGUCUUCAUGGAUUAACUGUCAUCUUGUGAGACAGGUCUUUGUUUCUCUACACCUACAUUGUACAGUCUGUUUUACUGUUGUUUUAGCUUUGCUGGAGAAAAAAAAAAAAACUCCUUUGCAUUUUAUUGCUGCUUAAGAAUAAAAUGUAGAGCUUUCCUGUCUUUUUCUUUUUCAAUUUAGGAGGUAAAUUAAUACCUCAAAGCGAGAAGUUAUGGAAAAGUUUUAACAUUUAAACCGUGUAUUAAUUUCAAGGCCUAAAUGCGCCCUCAAUUAUUUUACCAUUGCCCCUAAGUAAUUGAUUUUAGGUAGAGAAAGAGGGAGGAGGAGGAGGAGGGGGUGAUCUGUGUGUUAAAUCUGUGUGAAAACCGCAAAGCCAACAAAUGAAAAAUAACUAACGGCGUAAUUGCUGUGAGCAUUGUAACCUUGCUUUAUUGAUUUUUUUUUUUUUCAUCAAGGCAUUUGGCUUACAUCAAAGUUAGACCCAUAAUAACACAAGUUGUUUCACGGCUGCCUCUAAUAAUUUCACAUUUUGUUCCCUCGCUCAGCCUCUCGCUCUAUCAUUGACUCAUUCAGGUGUGUUCAAACCAGCCACACAAAGAUGAACACUUGUGAGGCUCGGGGUCCGGCGGUGUGUGGUGUGUGGUGUGUGAACGCGGUGAACAGACACAGACAGAACCUGCACGGGGACGAGAUAAUGAGCAUCUCAGGUGACUACACGCGGUGAUUACCAGGUUGCUGGUGUUAUAGGAACUAUAUCACAUAAACAUGCGCUACCGCUCUGUGCACACGCACACACAUUCAGAUGCACACUCGUGCACACACACACACUCUUGAGAGAUCCUUGGUUAUCACACCCUUCCAGAUUGUUCUGAACUACUUAUGGAAAACACACACACAUCUCAAGAUGUGGCCACUCUUGCCAAUAUGAGCCCAGUGUUAAGAACAGUUGUUGUCGUUGUCGUCGUGUGGUGUUUUUUUUAGCAUCUCUAAAUUCCUAGCGUUGCUAAGGUGCUUUGGGAGGGGAUUAACAGAGGCUGGCGCCGAUGAGCAAGCCUUGCAGAUUUCCAACCAGCAGGAAAAAGACAAAGAAAGAGGGGAAAGACGGAGGAAAAAACAGGAGAGGGUUAGACAACAGGGAAAUGGCAGGAACAGCUUGUGUAAACACGAUGACUUG